rnacentral:lncRNA from 12 species
AGCUCAUGGGAACUCUCUUCUGAUGCCUUCAUUCAAAGGCACCUACUAGGUUCCAGACGGUUCCAGGGCCGGGAUGGAGAGCUUCCCUGUUCUCAAGGCAGCCUGGGCGCCGGUGCAGGCCGAGGGGGAGGAUGAGCCCGGAGAAGCAAGGACAACGCGGCCGGCGGCCAGGGCACUGGGAGGAGAGCGUUGCAGGGCCAGGACCCGCAGCAGCAGGGACCCUGGGAAGUCGUGAAGGUUCAAGAAAAUAAGUGAAAUUCGGUAAAUUUCACGAGACAGGCAGGCCGAGCAUUUAUUUAUUUUUAUUUUAUUUAUUCACUCAUGAUAGACCUAGAGAGAGAGGCAGAGGGAGAAGCAGGCUCCAUGCAGGGCGCCCGACGCGGACUCGAUCCCGGGACCCCAGGAUCGCGCCCUGGGCCAGAGGCAGGCGCUAAACCACUGAGCCGCCCAGGGAUCCCCCCAGACCGAGCGUUUAGCACCAGUCCCAGUCGCGGCGGAGUGGGGAGCGCUUUCUGAUGAAUUCGAGACCCACGCUGCCCCUUUUCCCUUGCAUGACCUUCCAGUGACUUAACCAUCCGAGCCUCUUUUUUCUCAUCUGUAAAAUGGGGAAAUGGGCCGAUCAGCUCCCACGGGCGGCGACGCGGGGCCCGGGGAGCGCUCCGCACCUGCGGGCCGCGGUCCAGCCCCGGCGGGGGCGCAGCGGGGACGCGCGGGCCGGGGCGCGGGGACCCGCGGGGGCGGCGGGCGGGGCGGCGCUGACCACGCCCGGGCCGGAGGGGCGGUGCUGCCGCCGCCGGACUCGGGGCACUGCCUCCCGCCGCCGCCCGCCGGCCCCGGAGCAGCUCGCCCGCCGCCGCGGAGCCGGAGAUGGAUCUGCGGGCGUGGAGAGUCUGUGGAAGGGCCGUGUUCCUGUUGGCAGAGAAGGUUGGCUGCUGAGCCAGGGCGUGUCUCCCAGAGGGCGCCAGGCCGCCUGGAUCCCCAUCUCGUCGCCAUGGGCCGCCCAGGCUGCCACCUGCAGGGCCUCCAGGAUGUUCUUGGCUGCCUGCCAGGUGGACAUCACCAGGAGAGGGUGAGGGUCGAAGGGCAAUAGUCCGAGGUGAGAUUACAGGCUGCAGCACCAUCUUCCUGGCCCUGGCCCUCCAGACCUGUGUCUGUGAGAAGCAUGGCCCAGGGCAGGGGCUGGGGAGGCCAGGUGCCCAGGAGACCCCACUGCGUCUGAGACAGAGGCUUUAGGACCCAGCAUGCGUCCCCGUGUGCCUGGAGCCCACCCGUUGUGCAAGCUUGCAUGCCAGCCCUUAGCACGCCAGUGUCCAGGCCUGCCCAAGCCCCAGGCUUUUCUGCUGAAAGUCCCCAAGGCUACUUGGCAGUGUGCCCUCUUGGCCUGGUUUGUGGGACUGAAUGGGGCCGAGGGGUACAUGUGUGAGGCCUCGAAUCAGGGGCUACCAGCAGCCUGAGGGGGCCAGGCCUCCCCAGACAAGGACCCGGCCUGGGUCCAUGAUGGCCAUGUCGUAGGUAGCACUGGCUCAGGUCUCGGGAAGCUCACAGGUGUGUCACAGAGUGAAAGGGACUCUGCCCAGACCUCAGCCUGUGGCCUGCCGCUCCCG